rnacentral:lncRNA from 1 species
UUUUGGGUUCUCUGCCGUGCCUGCAGGUGUUAGGGAGAGCCUGGGUGUUGUAUGUGGCAGGAAAAAAGCAAUUGUUUCUGACUCCUUAGCUACCUUGAAGACCUCUGUAUGUUUGCCGAAGAGUUGAGGGGACACACCACCCGCAUAGCAUGAGUGACUCCUAAGUCAGAGCAGACAUGGGUGAGCACGUUAGUUUUGAGAAAGAAACUGCCUACAACAUAAUCAACCUGACAGGUCUUUGGAUAGUUUUACAUUUGUGUGUUGUGUUUAAUGUUCAGCCUGGGCUGCAGCUUGGCGGGUAUCGGGUUCUGCUUUCUGGUUUCUAGUCUGGCUUUGAAUUUACUGGGUUGCUAGCAAGAAAACAAAUCUAUUUUUAAGGGAAUAGAAUGUAGAACGGCGUAGGCGUAGAAGUAUAAUACACAGUGACCAUCAUAGAUUUACACAGCUUUAGAGUUCUUAGCCCCCAGGACUUCCUACAUAAAAGGCCCGGGAAGCUCUAGCUGCAGGUUGCUGGUGUGCUCAGCACAGCUUUCCUUUAUGCACUCCCAGCUUAUAAGGGACUUCGGUUUAUUUGCGAUUUGCCUUGCAUGAUACCACUUUGUAUCUUUCAGGAGGUCAGAGGACUCUUUUGUCCAGGUUGAAGUCCCAAAGUGUCAGUUUUACCUAAGAUUGUUUCUCAACGACCCCCCCUCCCCCCGCCGCCGCCGAAGGGUCCCUGAUUUCCAUGUAUCAGGAAGGUGACUGCUUCUAUCUAUCCAUGUAUAUGACAUUAUGUACAUCAAGUACUGAAUCUGAUUUCUGUGCCAGCCAUCUGACCUGAUUCUUUGAGACCCAUAAAGGUACUGGUUAUAGGUAAUAGUUGCAUCCCGGGAGAAUAGAGUGGUCCAAAUACUUUCUCUGAAUUAUAAAGCUAAUGGGGUUUGCAUUUUAGUAAAGCGUCCUAAUUGUCAGUGAUGCAGGAUCUUGCUUUUUAAUUUUUUUUUUUUAAAUACAAUUCUCUAAAUGUGGUCAGUAAUGUAUGGGAUCAGUCACAUAGUAGAUGCAUUCUGGAUCUUCUAUUGGGAAAGCCUUCAUAAGGGAGGCCAUAUGUAAAACCACCCUGGUCCGUUUACCUUACAAGCACCACUUAUGCAGCAUCUGACUCAGCAUAAAUCUAUGGCAAAACCACAACAGUGACUCUGUCCCUUUGCGGUAUACCAUGCCUCGUCUGAGAGGCUCUAAUACCGGAAGAGUUUAUUCUUAAAAGUAAAGAUGGUUUUGUAUCAUAAGAUAACCCCCAAAGCUGGCCACCAAGGCUUCCUUUCUCUGUUCUUCCUCUUUCCUAACUCGGGUUUUGGAGUCUCCUUAGCUUACGCUACUUUCUUAGGACUUUGGUUUUUGUUUUUUUGUUUGUUUUUUUUUGAGCCCAGGAGUCUACAGUGUGACCCUUGUCAGUGAAGUUCUUUUGUUUUAAAAGAUUCAUGGUAACACAAAAUGUAUUUUACUGCUACAACUAAAAUGUAUUUAUAAUAAAAAAAUGCCUUUUU